CCUCAAUGUGUGUGACUGUAUGCAUGUAUAUUUAUACUCUGUGGGCUAAGCGUGGAGAUUCCCACACCCCCAUGUUCCAGUUAAACCCUCCAGAGGACCAUGACACCGCCUUGAACACAACCCAGCUCAAUUUCAAGACUGCUAUUCUCGUAAUGAUUAGUGAUUAUUGUAAUGAUCUACAGCUUAGAAGUGCAAAUGCUGAUAAGAAAAAACCAAAGAAGUUGUCUAGAUAAUUUGUAAGAGCCCUAACACUCAUUGACACACCUGGACGCAAACAUGAAGUGAAACUCGUAUGUGUCAUUUGCCUUUGUGUGUCUACUUGUGCUUCCCUUCUGUUGCUGAUUGUUAAAUACAGUACAAAGUGUAUGUUAACAGAGAUGUUUGGAAAUUUGAGUGUGCAACAAAUGUGUACAAAUUAGUCUAAUACAGCUUCAAAACGGACAUCAAAAGCUUGCAAAGGACUAACGUCA